AUAAACAUAAGGAAAAAUAGAAGGAUUUCUGGUGUAAUUGAUAUUGUAAUAGGCCAAUUUUGGCCUGGCUAAAAAUAAAUAAAAUAAAAUAACGGUCCAUUUACAUUUGGGCUAAUCCUAAUACAUUUAGCCCAAUAAAGGGCCCAAUUGUGUAAACCCUAGCCUAACCAGCCGAUAGCCUCAGCGCCACCAUCGCCCAACGUCGCAGCAGCACCCGCGCAUUGCGCACGUCGCCUUUGCACCUCGCGCAUGUUGCCCCGCACAACGCACGUCUUCCACUACUUCCAUACCUGCGAGAAAUUGAUCUAAACGGCAGCACAUGCUAAAAAUAAGAGGAUACAUAGAUUUUUUUUUGUAUAUCUCGGCUAUAAAAGGCCGAUUUUAAUUUGUAAACGGGGUUAGACAAAUGAUAUAUUGAAAUAUAGAGAAAAUACAAAGGAAAAGAAUCAGAAAAGAAAAAUUUUGGAAGGUGAUUUUCUUUAUUUCUUUUAUUGCUUUCUCUGUUAUUUUUUCUUUUUUUUUCUGGGUGUGCAAAACAAAAAUAAGGAGGAGAAGAGAAGGUUCUUACCAGUGGUGGCGAACCAUUGAUGCCCUUGCUGCGUUGCGUCCGAAUCUGAGUUGAAAAGGGGAGGAUUUCGGUAAGAAACAGAAGAGAAAGAAGCAGUCCUUGCAGCUGCUGUUGCUGAAAUUGGAAUGGGGUUUUGAUUAGGGUUUGAAAUGGGUUUUGUUGGCUGCAAAUGAAAUGGGGUUUUAUUAAUAGGCUAUUUACCUUUUUAAUCAUUUUCAUUUUUCCAUCAUUUCAAAAUUAUGGUUUUUGGUUUUUAAAUUUUGCUAUGAAAUAUUGAAAUUGUUUUAUUUUAAUCCCAUUUAAACGCAGUGCGUGGGAGGUUUGGGAAAAUUUCCCUUCCGGUCCUCCUCCUGUUGCGCGUAUUUUAAUUUGCUCCAAUUUUGUUUAUUGUAAUUAUGGAUUUGCCCCAAAUCACUGUUUCAAGUUUUAAAUUGGCCCUUUUGUCAUUAUUAUAUUAUAUUAUAUUAUUAUAUCUAUAUAUAUAUGUGCAUAUGUAUGUUAAUAUAUAUAUGUACAUAUUUUAAACGGUUUUACAAUAUAUAUACAUGUCUUAUAUAUUUUAUUAUCACUUUAUUUUUCUUAGUUUUAUAUACAUAUACGUACGUACAUAUACUUAUAUUUUAUAAUUUUCAUACACUUUUUCAUAUUUUUUAAUCCAAAUAUAUAUAUUUUAAUAUAUAUAUAUAAUUCACUAUUCAAAAUUAUAAUAAAUAUAUUUUCUGCAUUCUUCUUUUAUUUACCUAUAUAUCCAUAUUUUUGUAAUCUACUAAUAUAUUAUAUUUAUACAUUUUUUUUAUUAUUUCUAAAAUGUAUGUAUAUUUUAUUAUUAAUUCAUUUUCAUGAUUUUCGAAUACAUAUAUAUAUGCAUUAGCAUUUUAUUAUAUUUUUUAAAAGAAAAUAUAUUUUGGUUUCGUCAAAGCAUUAAAAUCGUUUUUAAAUUUUAAAUAUUUGGCAUUCUUGAUUCCCGAGAAAGAUCGUGUCCUAACUUACUGGAUUGUGAUUAUUUUUCGAUGAAUUUGGAAAACUAAGUAUUUAUUUUGUAAUAAAUUCACAAAGAUUUCGAAUAAAAGCUUAUUCUCAGGAAUCCAAAAAUGUCGGGUCCUAACUUACUGGUCGUGACAUUUCGUGAUCUCGAAAUAAGAAUUUCUAAAACAAAAGGCAAUGUUCCACUUUUGGGAAAUUCGAGUGAUUGUGCCCUAACUUACUGGGUUUCGAUUUUUCUCCCUUAACCCAAAUAACCGAAUAUCCUCUUAAGUUUUAAAUACAUGAGUUUUAAAAAUCAAGAGACGAACUUGAUUUUGAAGAUUUAAAAAUAUUGUGCCCUAACUCACUGGGUGUGAUGUUUUAUUUCUUUGAAAUAAGAAUGUUUAUCAUUUUAAUUCAUUCACGAGUUAAAAAUUUUUACUCUUUUCAAAUUUUCGACAUCAAAGACAUAAAAUAAUCAAAUUUGGUACCGAUUUUUGGGCGUUACGAGGGUGCUAACCUUUCCUCGUGCGUAACUGACUCCCAAACCUGUUUUCUCAAAUUUCGCAGACCAAAAUCAUUUUUAAGGUGAGCCGAUCACACCUCAAUUAAGGAUUGGUGGCGACUCCAAUUUUUGUUUUUAAAGUCGACAACUAAAUAUUUGUUUUUUCAAAAAAAUGGUUUCGACAGCUUGGUGACUCCACUGGGGACCUUAGAGAGUCGAGCCAUAAAUUGAUUAUGUUGUGUCUUUUUAUUGAAAAUUAAAGUUGUUUUAAAUCAUGAUUUUCCCCUUUGCAUUCAUUGGUUUUAUCAUAUGCUUGCUUGAUUGAUCUAAGUCCGUUAGUUUAUUUGCAUUUUGCAUUUCAUGGUCAAUUUUAUCCCUUUAAGUGGGAGUGAGAAACUAGUCCUUCGUGAGGUUUUCACCUCCGUGUAGGAUAGUGGAUCGCUUUCGGAAUACAUCUGUACUUGUGUCUUCGUGAGAUUUUCAUCUCCGUGCAGCCAUAGGGAAAUUUAUUCCCCUGAACCGAAUUUGGUCCAUAUGAGCCUAUAAUGGGUGAAGAUCGAUGAAUUUGUUGGUUCGGGUACUCUUGCUCUAGAAGCCAAAACCUCAUAUAGUGAACCUUAGGAACCCACCUUAGGUAGAAUUACUUUGAACCUUAGUAGAUACCUAAUUAAGAGUUUUUACUAUUUCUUGGUUGUGUUGUAUUUAAUUGUUACUGACUUUUUGUGUUUUACUCUAAUUGCAUGGCAUUACAAUUACAUGGCAUUCCAUUAUAAAGAGGCGUUGUUUUGUAUUCGGUUGCUAGACAGAAAAUUUAUCAUGGGAAAUAAGUUUCUUGAUAAAUUGGAAGAUAAUACGGCUGCCUGAAUAUAUUCCGAGAAACGCAAGAAGGGCGAUGGAGGAAUACAUGACUUUACUUCGUGCCUCAAGGUCAAGCUGAUUAUUCAAGAGUUUCUGACAUUCCAACUGCCUUAAAGAAGCUGAGGAGCAUUACGGGGAUGGCUAGACGUUGGAUUAUAACCAGGAUCAAGCAAAAAGGAGGUAGAGGAGAUACCCCUUUUGAAGAAUUCACAAGAUUUAUCUUAGCAUCCAGAUGAAGAAGGAGAAGAUGUCUUCGCCUGGAGUAUGAGGGUAAAGCCGUAUAUAUAUCCGCUUUAUGUAAAGAAAUUUGUCUUCUAGUAAAGUUUUUUAAAUGGAAUUGAAUCAGAAUCAAUGUCUCUUUUUGCAUUCAUCUCAUGCAUUUGCAUUACAUUGCAUUAUAUGCACUAAAAUCCACCAAAAGAGCCUGAUCAAUUAAAAUUAUUCUUCAGUUAAACUGGAAACCAACCAGCCAACCCAGCCCCGUUACGGUACAAGAGCGAAAUCAAAGAAUAUGGAUCAAAGAUUAGAAAAGCUCGAGCAGUUCCAAAAAGAAAUGCAUGAGCAACUUCAGCAGCAGAUGCAGGAGCAGCUCGAGAAGAUUCAAGAGAAAAUGAUGGAUAAAAUGAUGGAAUCUCAAGGAAGUAUGAUGAUAAAGUUAACGCAGUUGUUGACGGAAAGGAAAGAUAAAGGAAAGAGCCCCAUGACCCAUGUUGAGGAAGAAGGUGAUGACGGACACCUGUAUCCUCCAGGCUUCACUCCUCUAGAUGUACAGCCCCAAGUGGAAAUGUACCUGCGUAAAUCUUUUGUUACCAUUAGGCCUCAGCAAUUUCAGGACGAUGCUUCAAAGGCGAUGAAUUACCAAACUGGAUCAGGCUCUACCCUUGAGAAUAUUCCCGUCAAUCUUGUAGUCCCUGACUUCGAUGAGGUGGUCGAAAAGAAAAAAGUAAAGGAAGAAUUGCCAAAGCAAUGUGAAGAAAGGUGGAAGUGGGUCAAAGAGAAGUUCAAGGCGAUGGAAAGUACUGAGAGAUAUGGUGGGAUUGAUGCUAAAGAUUUGAGUUUAGUUCCAGACUUGGUGCUCCUUUACAAGUUCAAGAUGCCAGAGUUCGAGAAGUAUAAUGGAACUAGUUGCCCGGAAGCCCAUAUCACUAUGUUUUGUAGGAGAAUGACUGGAUAUGUUAAUAAUGACCAACUUUUGAUACACUACUUUUAGGAUAGCCUUACGGGGGCAACGUCUAAAUGGUAUAAUCAUUUGAGCCGUACUAAGAUUGGUUCUUGGAGGGAUUUGGCACAGGCUUUUAUGAAGCAGUACGGUCAUGUGACAGAUAUGGUUCCUGAUAGAAUCACCAUACAGAACUUAGAAAAGAAAUCGAAUGAAAGCUUUAGGCAGUAUGCACAGAGAUGGAGGGAGGUUGCAGUUCAGGUCCAACCACCGCUCCUUGAAAGAGAAAUGGUGAUGCUCUUUAUAAAUACGUUGAAGGCCCCAUUCAUCACACAUAUGUUGGGAAGUGCCACAAAAAGCUUUUCUAACAUAGUUAUGAGUGGUGAGAUGAUUGAGAGUGCUAUUAGGAGCGGAAAGAUUGAUACUGGAGGAAAUAACAGAAAGCAAGCCCCAAAGGAAAAAGAAAACGAGGUGAACAGCGUGAAUACAUACAGCAAAUCGAUUACGGUGAAUCAGCCAAGAAAGGUGGUUGCUAAUCAGCAGGGUUCAUCAAGACAAGAAUCAGGUGUGAAGCAAGGUACUGAGAAACUCCAGUUCACGCCAAUUUCAAUGUCGUAUAAGGGGCUUUAUCAAAGCUUAUUCGAUACGCACGUUGUUUCCCCUUUCUACUCAAAACCCCCACAGCCUCCGUACCCCAAAUGGUACGACGUAAGUGCACAAUGCGAUUAUCAUGCAGUAAUUACGAGACAUUCUAUAGAAAAUUGCAUUGCCUUUAAAAGAAGUGGUUGAAAGGCUUAUCAGUAUGGGCGUUGUCAAAUUUGACGAUUCAUCCAGUGCAAAAAAUCCGCUACCUAAUCACAUUUGAUAAUGGGGUGAAUGUGAUGCAUGAAGAAGUGUUGAGAGGCGUUCACAUCAAUGUCAUAGAUGAAGACACAAUCAAAAAUGGACCUUGUUAGAUAUCCACCUUUGUAAACCUGGAAGUGUUUUAAGCAAUCGAACUGCAGAAGAAAUAUUUGUAGUAUUUAGGGAUUAUUUAGAGCAAUGUUCAAAACACACUUGUUGCUUUUAGCCUAGAGGCAAUAAGAAUUCUUUUGUGAAGUAGGCUCAUGUCUAAAUGUCGUUAUUUUAAUGAAAUGCAUCCUUGCGACCAUUUUUGAACCAAUAUUCUUUCCGUCUGUCUGAAUAGUUAUUUUUUCAUUCUUUUGGAUUUUCUUCCACAUCAUUCAUUCAUUCAUAAUCAUAUUGUAUAGAUAGUUCUUCAUAAAUUCAUACAUUCUUUGUAUAUUCUUUGGUACCCACUAUAGGUCCCUAGAUAUCAAUGACUUGAAUGACACUGCCACAGAUUUAGAAUCUCCUCUUGAGCAAGACAUGUGUUUAGAGGGAUCUCAUGACUUUGAAGAUGACAUAGAUCGUAGCUUAUCUCCAGACUUGUUGAGGAUGGUAGAGCAAGAAGAGAACAAAUUUUACCUCUUGAAGAGACAAUAGAGAUUGUGACUUUAAGAGAACAUGCAUAACCAGAGAAACGAAGUAAGACCUUGUUAAGUUACUUCAAGAGUUCAAAGAUGUCUUCGUAUGGUUAUACCAGGAUAUGCCCAGGUUAAGCACUGAUAUUGUAAUCUGAGCAAUAGCACAAUGUUAAAAAUUUGCAGUAUGUUCAAGAUUCACAUCAUGAACGAUGCAGUUAGAAUUCUUUACCGGGGCAAUACCUUCUUCUCUGGCUUAUCCCGUUGAAGUCAAGUUGUCAUUUUUCCGUAUUUUUGUUGGAUUUCAUCCUAACUGAAGAGGAAGAUCUAAAAUUUUCUCGUCAUAGAUAAAUUUCGCCCCAAAAGGCUCUAUGAGAGAAACCUGAUACCAAAGAAGAUCUUUUGCAUACAAAAUAAAAGUGGAAGAUUUUAUGGGGAAUACCUUAUCUGGAAUAAUAUUGAUUCAUAUUGAAAAGGAUGACCAGGACUUGCAUAAUACUAUGAGUGCAGAUUCAAUGCAAAAAAAAAAAGAGGAAAAGAAGAAAGAAACAAACCAAAAAACAAAAAGAAACAAAAAAAACCUCUACCGGGGCAAUGUCUUUCUCUUUAGCUUAUCACGAUUUUUCCAUUGAAGUUAAAAUUCUUCCUCUUCGGGUAUUGGCUAAGCUGAAGUAGGAUGAAGAUCCAAUCUCGAUACGAUCAGUUGAACUUAAUUGAAGGAAAUUGGCUAAAAGCUAUUAGUCAUGGCCAGAUGUACCAAAAACGGAUGAUGCGAACUUACAACUAAAAAGGGUUCGUCCCAGAUAAUUUCAUGAGGGAGACCUAAUAUUGAAAAAGAUCCUUCCUUUACAAAAGGAUUUUAGAGAAAAAUGAGUGCCAAAUUGGGAAUGUCCUUAUGUUGUAAAGAAGACCUUUUCUGGAGGAGCACUAAUCUUGAGUGAGAUGGAUAGUAAAAACUUGUCUAAUCCUGUAAGCUCAGAAUCAAUCAAGAAAUACUUCGCUUAAAGAAGGAGAGGACCACGUAAAAACCCGCAAAGGGCACUUUGAGUUGCAAAAAAAAUGUGAAAAAAUAAAAAUAGAAAAAUGAAAAAUGGAAAAAGUAAAAAUGGAGAGGCUAAGGUGAAAACCCGCAAAGGGAGCCUUAGACCAAAGGAGAUUUGAGUUGAAAACCCGAAAAGGGCGGCUCAAAUUUUGAUCAGAAUAGGGCUGGAAGUGAUCAGAGUGGCUCAGAUUUUGAUUGGAAUGGGGCAUGUGGUGAUCUUGAUAUACCUGAAUCAGCAGGGAAGGGUAUGCGACAUCUUGGGGCAUCGACAGAGUAUUGUAGAUAUCCUAAACACAUGUCAAACUCAGAAUGGUCUUCAGGAAGUUUGUACAGAGAAGUUCAAGCUGCGUUAUCUGGGGCACUUAGUCUUCAUACUAUUUAUAUUGAAUUGCCUGUUCUUGGAAUACUUCAUUCUUUUUCAAGAUACGAGUCAAUUCCUCUUGUAUUAUUAAUAUUCUUGAUAAUAUGUUCAUUUCAAGCAAUGUUCUCAAACCAAUUCUAUUUUAUCUUUUAUUUUGUUCUUUUUGCAAACCUGUUGCAUUAGAAUAAUGAUCAAUGGACUAAUAAAACUUUCACAAGGGAAGUUUUGCAUAUUACUCUAGAAGUUUCUAAAUAAUACAGUAACCUAAAACAGGACUAUUGUUUAUAACGCACCAAGUUUAAAGAUUGAAACAUCUGGGAAGAAAAGGUCUAAAUUGAGACUAUUCCUUUAGAUUUUGUUGUCAAAUCACUGAUUGAACAAAGUGACAAGAUGCCGUGUUGGUGACAAAGCGUCAAUGAACAAGCAAGCAAUGAUCACCUUGCAAUAAGAAGAGGUUUCCUCGGAGAAAGAAAUUCUUCAUUUGUGCAUAGGCAUUUGGUAUGACACCUUGAGAACGGUAUAAAGGACCAAAGUGCUUCACCUUGCGAUAAGAGAAGAUUGAGAGGCCAGAUUUUUUUUUCUACCUUUGGGUUACAGCGGGAGAAAGAUGGUACCAAUGUUGCAUCCCAGUAGAUUGAACUUUAAAGUUCACAGUGGGGGGCAAUUUGAUUGAGUGUUCUUUGGAGAUGCUAGCCGAGCAAGAGGACGUUGUAGUGCGUCAGUGAUACGGCUUUAAAAAACUUUGAGUAAUGACUGCCUAAGCGGGAUUAUUCUUGAAAAAAAUGACAUUCUGCAUUCAUUCAAACGUCAUUCAUACAUGUCUAGUUAGGAAUAUUUGAUUCAUUCUGAUCAUGAUAUCCUAAUCACUAGGCAUAAUUAGGUCCAUAAAUUAAAUUAUACAGGUUAUGUUCCUUAGAGGACAAACCAGUGAAACUUCAGCCUUGCCUUCCUAAGUUUGCAGCAGAGCAAACUGAAGAUAGCAGAUCUUGCCUUCCUGUACUGAUAGAGAAGUAGAUCGAAAAUACCAGCCUUGUCUCUCUGGGCAGUAGUGGAGUAGGUUGAAAAUAGCAGAUCUUGCCUUCCUGUAUUGACAGAGAAGCAGAUCGAAGAUACCAGCCUUGUCUCCCUAGGCAGCAGUGGAGUAGGUCAAAAAUGGCAGAUCUUGCCUUCCUGUACUGGCAGUGAAGCAGAUCGAAGACAUCAUUCUUAUCGCCAUGAUGUUGCAAUUAAAAAGAUUGAAGCCACAAUGGCAGAUCUUAUUUUCCUGGCGUCGCAGCGGAGCAGAUUGAAGCCACAAUGGUGGAUCUUAUCUCCCUGGUGUUAAGGCUUGGAUUAGCUGAAGUGGAGUGGACUGAAGCUGUGGGCAGUGAAUCCUAUCUCUUUGGUAUUACAGUGGAAAAGAUUGAAGCCACAGCGGCGGAUCUUACUUCCUGGCAGUGCAGUGGAAAAGAUUGAAGCCAUGAUGGCGGAUCUGAUUUCCCCGACAUUGUAAUUGAAAAGAUUGAAGCCACAGCGGCGAAUCUUACUUCCCUGGCAGUGCAGUAGAAAAGAUUGAAGCCACGAUGGCGGAUUUAAUUUCCCCGACAUUGCAAUUAAAAAGAUUGAAGCCAUAACGGCAGAUCUUACUUCCCUGGCAGUGCAGCGGAAUAGAUUGAAGCCACAACGGCGAGUCUUAUUUCCCCAACAUUGCAAUUUAAAAGAUUGAAGCCACAACGACAGAUCUUAUCUCUCUGACGGUGCAGAGGAACAGAUUGAAGCUACAACGGCGGAUCUAGUUUUCUCGACAUUACGAUUUAAAAGAUUAAAGCCACAACGGCGGAUCUUACCUCUCUGGCGGUGUAGCAGAAUAGAUUGAAGUCAUGACGGUGAAUCUUGUUUUCCCGACAUUGCAGUUAAAUAAACUAAAGAAAAUAAUUCUAUCUCCCUGAAGUUGUAGUGGAGCGGGUUAAAAUUUAGUCUUAUCUCCCUAAAGUUGCAGUGGAGUAGACAAAAGAAACUAAUCCUAUCUCCCUGAAGUUGCAGUGGAACGGAUUAAAACCACAUCUUAUCUCCUUGAAGUUACAGGGAUCAGAUCGUGUUCGGUUUUAUCACCCUGAAGUGGCAGUGGAGUAGAUUGAAGCAUCAAUUUCUAUACCUCUGAAGAUACGGUAGUAAAGAAUGAGACUACUUGAAGAAAAGGGUCCCGAAGUCCAGUACGACCAGGCAAAAUUGGCCAUCUCUAAAGUCUUUGCUCUGUUCUCGUUACAUGAUAACGAGCAAAGAGGGGCAGCUGUAAUAGGCCAAUUUUGGCCUGGCUAAAAAUAAAUAAAAUAAAAUAACAGUCCAUUUACAUUUGGGCUAAUCCUAAUACAUUUGGCCCAAUAAAGGGCCCAAUUGUGUAAACCCUAGCCUAACCAGCAGAUAGCCUCAGCGCCACCAUCGCCCCACACCGCAGCAGCACCCGCGCAUUGCGCAUGUCGCUCAUGUUGCCCCGCACAACGCACGUCUUCCAUUACUUCCAUACCUGCGAGAAAUUGAUCUAAACGACAGCACAUGCAAAAAAUAAGAGGAUAGAUAGAUUUUUUUUCAUUUUUUUGGGUAUAUCUCGGCUAUAAAUGGCCGAUUUUAAUUUGUAAAUGGGGUUAGACAAAUGAUAUAUUGAAAUAUAGAGAAAAUACAAAGGAAAAGAAUCAGAAAAGAAAAAUUUUGGAAGGUGAUUUUCUUUAUUUCUUUUAUUGAUUUCUCUGUUAUUUUUUCUUUUUUUUUUCUGGGUGUGCAAAACAGAAAUAAUGAGGAGAAGAGAAGGUUCUUA
rnacentral:lncRNA from 1 species